rnacentral:rRNA from 1 species
AUUGAACGCUGGCGGCAGGCCUAACACAUGCAAGUCGAGCGGAUGAAGGGAGCUUGCUCCUGGAUUCAGCGGCGGACGGGUGAGUAAUGCCUAGGAAUCUGCCUGGUAGUGGGGGAUAACGUCCGGAAACGGGCGCUAAUACCGCAUACGUCCUGAGGGAGAAAGUGGGGGAUCUUCGGACCUCACGCUAUCAGAUGAGCCUAGGUCGGAUUAGCUAGUUGGUGGGGUAAAGGCCCACCAAGGCGACGAUCCGUAACUGGUCUGAGAGGAUGAUCAGUCACACUGGAACUGAGACACGGUCCAGACUCCUACGGGAGGCAGCAGUGGGGAAUAUUGGACAAUGGGCGAGAGCCUGAUCCAGCCAUGCCGCGUGUGUGAAGAAGGUCUUCGGAUUGUAAAGCACUUUAAGUUGGGAGGAAGGGCAGUAAGUUAAUACCUUGCUGUUUUGACGUUACCAACAGAAUAAGCACCGGCUAACUUCGUG